rnacentral:rRNA from 1 species
CCUACGGGGGGCAGCAGUCGAGAAUCAUUCACAAUGGGGGAAACCCUGAUGGUGCGACGCCGCGUGGGGGAAUGAAGGUCUUCGGAUUGUAAACCCCUGUCAUGUGGGAGCAAAUUAAAAAGAUAGUACCACACGAGGAAGAGACGGCUAACUCUGUGCCAGCAGCCGCGGUAAUACAGAGGUCUCAAGCGUUGUUCGGAAUCACUGGGCGUAAAGCGUGCGUAGGCUGUUUCGUAAGUCGUGUGUGAAAGGCGCGGGCUCAACCCGCGGACGGCACAUAAUACUGCGAGACUAGAGUAAUGGAGGGGGAACCGGAAUUCUCGGUGUAGCAGUGAAAUGCGUAGAUAUCGAGAGGAACACUCGUGGCGAAGGCGGGUUCCUGGACAUUAACUGACGCUGAGGCACGAAGGCCAGGGGAGCGAAAGGGAUUAGAUACCCCUGUAGUC